UCUACUGUUAUGCAAAACUUUGUCCAAUUGUUUGGUUUACCUGGAAAAACAAAAGGCAUUCCUAUCACAUGUUAGCAUGCUAACACACUAAUCUUUCGGUGAACACGGUAAACAAUAUACUUGUUAACCAGCAGCAUGUUCCUUGUCAAGGAUCCUCCAGUCCCACACUUGCACCUCUGCAGACAGCCCUUCCCGAAAGUGCCUGCUGGACAGGACUCCUCGCAGUAGCGUCCUAUGAACCCAGGAGGACACUGACAUGCCCCCUUGGUAGGAUCGCAGAGAGCUCCGUUCUCACACUUACACUGCUGACUACAGCCUGGUCCCCAGUGUUUGUCAUCACAGGCUGAAAGGAUGAACCUAUAUAACCAUUUCUUCUCCAAGGAAAAAACGAUGUGACAUCUGGGUGAUUUUCAAGUGUUCCUGCCUGCAGGGUGCUACAGCCAUUUUCCGAGGAGAGUGGGAGCUACA